rnacentral:rRNA from 1 species
CCUACGGGAGGCAGCAGUGGGGAAUAUUGGACAAUGGGGGGAACCCUGAUCCAGCGACGCCGCGUGAGUGAAGAAGUAUUUCGGUAUGUAAAGCUCUAUCAGCAGGGAAGAAAAUGACGGUACCUGAGUAAGAAGCCCCGGCUAACUACGUGCCAGCAGCCGCGGUAAUACGUAGGGGGCAAGCGUUAUCCGGAUUUACUGGGUGUAAAGGGAGCGUAGACGGCAGUGCAAGUCUGGAGUGAAAGGCGGGGGCUCAACCCCCGGACUGCUCUGGAAACUGUACGGCUGGAGUGCAGGAGAGGUAAGUGGAAUUCCUAGUGUAGCGGUGAAAUGCGUAGAUAUUAGGAGGAACACCAGUGGCGAAGGCGGCUUACUGGACUGUAACUGACGUUGAGGCUCGAAAGCGUGGGGAGCAAACAGGAUUAGAUACCCGGGUAGUC